rnacentral:rRNA from 1 species
CUGUGACUUACAAUUUUAAGGCAUCCGAAUCCCUCAUGUCUUGGAAGCCAAGCAGAGUCGAACCCAAUAAGUACUUUGGUGGGAGACCUCCAUGGAAGACGAGGUGUCCUUCAGU